rnacentral:rRNA from 1 species
UUUAGCAGAGAUGCUUUAGUGCCUUCGGGAACUCUGAGACAGGUGCUGCAUGGCUGUCGUCAGCUCGUGUUGUGAAAUGUUGGGUUAAGUCCCGCAACGAGCGCAACCCUUAUCCUUUGUUGCCAGCACGUAAUGGUGGGAACUCAAAGGAGACUGCCGGUGAUAAACCGGAGGAAGGUGGGGAUGACGUCAAGUCAUCAUGGCCCUUACGAGUAGGGCUACACACGUGCUACAAUGGCGCAUACAAAGAGAAGCGACCUCGCGAGAGCAAGCGGACCUCAUAAAGUGCGUCGUAGUCCGGAUUGGAGUCUGCAACUCGACUCCAUGAAGUCGGAAUCGCUAGUAAUCGUAAAUCAGAAUGUUACGGUGAAUACGUUCCCGGGCCUUGUACACACCGCCCGUCACACCAUGGGAGUGGGUUGCAAAAGAAGUAGAUAGCUUAAUCUUCGGGAGGGCGUUUACCACUUUGUGAUUCAUGACUGGGGUGAAGUCGUAACAAGGUAAGCGUAGUGCU